GUCUAUGGCCAUACCACCCUGAAGAGGCCUGAUCUCCUCUGACCUGGAAAGCUAAGUGGGGUCAAGCCUGGUUAAUACUUGGAUGGAAGACUGCCUGGGAAUACUGGGCACUGUAAGCU
ensembl:rRNA 5S_rRNA 5S ribosomal RNA